rnacentral:rRNA from 1 species
GACGAACGCUGGCGGCGUGCCUAAUACAUGCAAGUCGAGCGAUCCUGCUUGCAGGAUAGCGGCGAACGGGUGAGUAACACGUGGGCAACCUGCCCCUAAGUCAGGGAUAACUCCGGGAAACCGGAGCUAAUACCAGAUAAUCUUUUUUCCUGCAUAGGAGAGAAGUAAAAGGCUUCGGCCGUUUAGGGAUGGGCCCGCGGCGCAUUAGCUAGUUGGUGGGGUAAUGGCCUACCAAGGCGACGAUGCGUAGCCGACCUGAGAGGGUGACCGGCCACAC